rnacentral:rRNA from 1 species
CUGGCGGCGUGCCUAAUACAUGCAAGUCGAACGGCUUUUCUAUGGAAGCUUGCUUCCACUGAGAAGAUAGUGGCGAACGGGUGAGGUAACACGUGGGUAACCUGCCCAUAAGAGGGGGGAUAACAUCCGGAAACGGGUGCUAAUACCGCAUAGUUUUCUUGAUCGCAUGAUCGGGAAAGGAAAGACGGCCUUUGUGCUGUCGCUUAUGGAUGGACCCGCGGCGUAUUAGUUAGUUGGUGAGGUAAUGGCUCACCAAGACGAUGAUACGUAGCCGACCUGAGAGGGUGAUCGGCCACAUUGGGACUGAGACACGGCCCAAACUCCUACGGGAGGCAGCAGUAGGGAAUCUUCCGCAAUGGACGAAAGUCUGACGGAGCAACGCCGCGUGAGUGAAGAAAAGGGUUUUCGGAUCGUAAAACUCUGUUGUCAGAGAAGAACAAGUUGGAGAGUAACUGCUCCAGCCUUGACGGUAUCUGACCAGAAAGCCACGGCUAACUACGUGCCAGCCGCAGC